AAGUUUUUAUUUAAGUAGCGGACGGGUGAGUAACACGUAAGAAUUUACCUUUAGGAGGGGGAUAACAAUUGGAAACAACUGCUAAUACCCCAUAUGCUUGCAAGUAAAAUGGAUUUUCCGCCUAGAGAGAAGCUUGCGGCUGAUUAGCUUGUUGGUAGGGUAAUGGCUUACCAAGGCGACGAUCAGUAUCUGGUUUGAGAGGACGAUCAGACACACUGGAACUGAGACACGGUCCAGACUCCUACGGGAGGCAGCAGUAGGGAAUUUUCCGCAAUGAGCGAAAGCUUGACGGAGCAAUACCGCGUGAGGGAUGAAUGCCUAUGGGUUGUAAACCUCUUUUUUCAGGGAGGAAUCAAUGACGUGUACCUGAAGAAUAAGCAUCGGCUAACUCCGUGCCAGCAGCCGCGGUAAAACGGAGGAUGCAAGUGUUAUCCGGAAUCACUGGGCGUAAAGAGUUUGUAGGUGGUUAAAUAAGUCAACUGUUAAAUCUUGAGGCUCAACCUCAAAACUGCAGUCGAAACUAUUAAACUAGAGUAUAGUAGAGGUAGAGGGAAUUUCCAGUGGAACGGUGAAAUGCGUAGAGAUUGGAAAGAACACCAAUGGCGAAGGCACUUUACUAGGCUAUUACUGACACUCAGAAACGAAAGCUAGGGUAGCAAAUGGGAUUAGAUACCCCAGUAGUCCUAGCUGUAAACGAUGGAUACUAAGUGUUGAAUAGAUUAAUCUGUGCAGUACUAAAGCUAACGCGUUAAGUAUCCCGCCUGGGAAGUAUGCACGCAAGUGUGAAACUCAAAGGAAUUGACGGGGGCCCGCACAAGCGGUGGAGCAUGUGGUUUAAUUCGAUGCAACGCGAAGAACC
rnacentral:rRNA from 1 species